AUCGAUGAAGGUUGUGCAGUAUCAGAAAUCUCGCAAAAACCCUAAAUCUAACCCCUUUUUGGUUCAGCAACAGUGGGUAUUAGAGAGGGUAUGUACAGAGGAAGAGAGAGAGAGAGGUAUCUUCAAUACAUCGUGCGUCGAAGAGAGAGAGAGAAGCGGAGAUCGCAGGAGAAAAUAAGAUUAUUUUUUUUUACAAAAAUCAAUUCGCUUUUUUAGGUUUUUUUUGUGCAGGUUCUUUCAGGCAGUGUAAAUAAAUAACUGUUGACAAAGAAAAUGUAAAUAAAUAUCUGAAUGAAGGUCUCACCAAGUAAAAUAAUCUCCUGAUGUGUGUAGUUUUUUAAUAUAUAUAUAUCCUAAGUAUGGAUUAAUAAGGUUAGGUCAUUUUGGUGUAUAAUCAUAGAAGACCGAUCAAUUAAGAAUAUAGCCAUGGUUUGAGAAUCAUGUCUUUUUACCUCGUAAAUAUGCCACACGCAACAACAUAUAUCAUUCUAUUUAUAUUAUCUAUAUAGAAUAGAUAUCUCGAACAGAAAUUUAACAAUAGAGAAAAUUUUAAUUUUCUUUAUAUUAUUUAUUUGUAGAUGUUUAAUGGAAUAAAUAUAAUAUCUAAUAUAAAAGAGUAUAGUUGUUCAUAGUACAAAUGGUUUAGCAAAAUAUAGUAUAUGAAAAAAACAAAUUUAAUUGAUAUAGUACAAAUUAAAACAAUUUGUUAUUCUAUAUGAGAUGGCCGGGAGGGAGAGAGAGAGAGAGAGAGGGGAGAGGGAGAGAAAGAAAAAAAAUAUAUAAUUAUAAUUUUAUUCUAUAUUUCGUAAAUAAAAUAUAAUAUAACAAUCUAUUAUUUGAACAUUAUAUAAUGGAAAAAGAAAAAAUGAAAAAAAAAUACACAGAAAAAAGGAAAGAUGGAAAAGAACAGAUUGAAAAAUUAAAUACAGGAAAAAGUACAACAAAUACAUAUUGUAUAAUUUUAAUUCUAUUAUAUGUCUCGUAAAUAGAAUAGACAAAUAUUUUAUUAUAACUGUAUAUAUAUAAUUUAUAAAUAUAUGUUAGUUUUACAAAAUUCAAAACAUUUCAUAUACAGAAAAAAGUCUAUGGUUUUUAUAGUUAUGUAAGAAACUCAAAUAAGUAAUUUUUAAACUUAUAAAUUAAUUAAAAGAAAAAGGUGAAAGUAAAAAAGGGCAAUAUAAAAAUUAUUUCAUAAAUAUCAUGGCUUUGUAAAUGAUAUGGUUAUAUUGUUGGUUUUUGGGUUUGUUACUUACAUGUCGCCAAAUUUCUCAUAAGUUUAUUCAUAUAAUUGUAAUAAAUUUUGUGUUUUAAAAGAUCGAUAACAAGUUUUUCUUCAAAUCAAUUACAAUAUUAAUUUUCUAAUAUAUAUGAUGGAUAUUAAAAAAUAGAAGUAUGACUCAGUUUAUUUUAUUAUUGGCGCAUUAUUUUCUAAUGUGGAAGUUAUAAAUUUACUAGGGAUAUUCCGGCGCUACGCGCCGGGUUCGUAUUUUUUAUUUUAAAUGAAUUUACAAUUUAUUUUGUGGUCUUAAUAAAUAAAAUAUGUUCAGAAAUACGAACAUGAAAAUAUGUUGAAAGAGAAUGAUAUACAUUUGAUAGUGGUUAGCGACUAUAAUGUAUUACUUUGUUUUGAAGUUGAUUAGUCUAAAGUAGAAUAUCAUAAAUGGUUGUGACUAAUCAAUUUGAUAGUCAUAAGUUGACGUUUUAUUUAUAAAGCAUACUUAUAUUAAUGGUGAAUUUAAGUUUCCGAUUUUUUUGACUUCUCGCAAAUAAAUAAAGCUAAAAACAAAUCCGAAUCAGAUCAUAACAUAUCUUACGACAUGAGAAAACUGGAUGAAGGUAAAAGUUAGUGACUUACAUCACAAUUGUAGGAAGAAGUAACAAUAUCCUUAAGCUUGCGUGCUUGCUAGUCUUAGAAUAUCUUCAACCCCACUCUAUAAUUUACUGCAAAAUGAAGUAACGAAGAAACAAAAAAGUGAUUACUCAAUUUAUGGAGUGAUUUUUUAUUUUUGGUUCAUACUACAUUUAUCACUCUAUUUUUGGAGUAAAUUAUAGAGUGGAGAUGGAGAAAUUUAUAGGAGAAGUUUUCGUAAUAAAUUUAUAGGAGAGAAUUUUUCAAUAAAAUUUAUUUGUUUUAACGUAAAUAUAUAUAUUAAUGGGAAACAAUAUCAGUAAGAUUUUAUUUGACAUGGCAGCAAAGAGUUAAAAAAAAGUAUGCAAUUUUUAGUACAUUGAAACUUCUAUAAAUUAAUAAUGUUGGGACUACACCAAAACUAUAAUAUUUUAUUAAUUUAUAGAGAUAUUAAUUUAUCGAUAUAUACUAAUUGAACCAAAAAUUUGAUUUGAGACUAUAAAAUUAUAUUAUUUUAUAGAGAUUUUUAGUAUAUAUUAAUUUAUAGAGUAUUAAUUUAAAGAGGUUAUAUUGUAUAUUAGUAUUGUUCGUCUGGUGGUAGUUCAGUACGAACCGGAGGUGUGCAAGGAAUAGGCGGUGGACACAUAUUGAUUUUCUUAGUUAAAGCCCCUUGAUUUCCUUUAUAGAGAAGAGCAUAAGUAACUAAAACAGAAAAAUGGAGGCAAUUCAAUGUCAUUUCCUUUAGUAUAAUAUUAAGGAUUAGAAUAAGUAACUUUUAAAAGAAAAACAUGUAUAAAUGUAAUGGAUCUA